AACGAACGCUGGCGGCAUGCCUAACACAUGCAAGUCGAACGAGACCUUCGGGUCUAGUGGCGCACGGGUGCGUAACGCGUGGGAACCUGCCUUUAGGUUCGGAAUAACUCAGAGAAAUUUGAGCCAAUACCGGAUGAUGUCUUCGGACCAAAGAUUUAUCGCCUUUAGAUGGGCCCGCGUUGGAUUAGCUAGUUGGUGGGGUAAAGGCAUACCAAGGCGACGAUCCAUAGCUGGUCUGAGAGGAUGAUCAGCCACACUGGGACUGAGACACGGCCCAGACUCCUACGGGAGGCAGCAGUGGGGAAUAUUGGACCAUGGGCGAAAGGUUGAUCCAGUAAGGCCGCGUGAGUGAUGAAGGCCUUAGGGUUGUAAAGCUCUUUUAACCGAGAUGAUAAUGACAGUAUCGGGAGAAUAAGCUCCGGCUAACUCCGUG
rnacentral:rRNA from 1 species